AUUGAACGCUGGCGGCAGGCCUAACACAUGCAAGUCGGACGGUAGCACAGAGGAGCUUGCUCCUCGGGUGACGAGUGGCGGACGGGUGAGUAAUGUCUGGGGAUCUGCCCGAUAGAGGGGGAUAACCACUGGAAACGGUGGCUAAUACCGCAUAACGUCGCAAGACCAAAGAGGGGGACCUUCGGGCCUCUCACUAUCGGAUGAACCCAGAUGGGAUUAGCUAGUAGGCGGGGUAACGGCCCACCUAGGCGACGAUCCCUAGCUGGUCUGAGAGGAUGACCAGCCACACGGGAACUGAGACACGGUCCAGACUCCUACGGGAGGCAGCAGUGGGGAAUAUCGCACAAUGGGCGCAAGCCUGAUGCAGCCAUGCCGCGUGUAUGAAGAAGGCCUUCGGGUUGUAAAGUACUUUCAGCGGGGAGGAAGGCGAUGUGGUUAAUAACCGCGUCGAUUGACGUUACCCGCAGAAGAAGCACCGGCUAACUCCGUGCCAGCCGCCGCGGUAA
rnacentral:rRNA from 1 species